CCUACGGGUGGCAGCAGUGAGGAAUAUUGGUCAAUGGACGAGAGUCUGAACCAGCCAAGUAGCGUGAAGGAUGACUGCCCUAUGGGUUGUAAACUUCUUUUAUAAAGGAAUAAAACGAGGCACGUGUGCCUUUUUGCAUGUACUUUAUGAAUAAGGAUAGGCUAACUCCGUGCCAGCAGCCGCGGUAAUACGGAGGAUCCGAGCGUUAUCCGGAUUUGUUGGGUUUAAAGGGCGCGUAGAUGGGUUUUUAAGUCAGUUGUGAAAGUUUGCGGCUCAACCGUGAAAUUGCCAUUGAUACUGGCAGUCUUGCGUACAGUUGAGGUAGGCGGAAUUCGUGGUGUAGCUGU
rnacentral:rRNA from 1 species